rnacentral:lncRNA from 1 species
GAUGAAAUAUGAAGUUUUAUUAAAAGAAAAAGGGGUGAAAAGAACAAAGUUUUGUCCAUCUUUGUUCAUCAUAGCUGAAAGUUAGAGAAGAGAAAGGAGAGGAGAAAGCUCUUGAGUAUUCGGUCAUUAGGAGGAGGAAAAUUGAAGGUAAGUUCUUGGUACCUUGCUUCUAUUUUGAGGUUCAUGAGUUCUUCUUGAUUCUACCUUAACUCUUGAAGUAUAUUUUGAUUUUUAGUUGUGUUAAGAGCAUUUAUUCAUGAAUUAAAAUGAAGGAAAUGGUUGUUGUUUCAAGUUCUUUUGAUGAAAAAAAUGGAAGAUAGGUGAAGUUGAGCCAAACAAAUGAGCAUGCAUGUGCCUUAGAUGUUAAAGGGAAAAAUCAGCUAACAUGUUGUGCUUUAAAAUGAUGAAAUGGAGAUUAUACUUAAGUAAAAUCAUAGAUAUGUGAUGAAUGAUUGGUGAUAUACAUGUUUAAAUAACAAGCAUGCAAGUUAGGUGUGAAAGAGUGAUUUGGUAAUAAAUCUGCUUGGGACAGCAGCAGUAACGUGACUUUGGAAAAUCACCAUACAUUGUAGGAGAUGAAUUAGAAGCUGAAUAAAUUAUGUAAUUAAAUCUUAUUGAGUCUAGUUUCUAAUGAAAUAAACAAGAACAUAUUUUGAAUCCUGUACAAUGAUAAAUUUGAUUCGUAAUGAAGAGUGGUCAGAUUAGUCAAACAGUGAAACAUGGAAAACUUUGAGAAAAAUCUGGUAUUGAUUGGCUAAACCAAAAAUUCUGAAAAUUUUAUGGAUAGAAGAUAUAUGAGUCUAUUUUAAGGGAAAAUUAAUGGAACUUGAUUUGGAGUUUCGUAGCUCCAGUUAUAAAUAAUUUAGUGAUUGUUGCUCAGGAAGACAGCUUGCAGUGAAAUUAUGAUUAUGUGGUAAACAUUGACAAAAAUUUGUUAAUGAGUUGCUUAUUGUUUUCUUAUAAGCUUACUAUGAUCUGUAGGUGUGGUUGGCCGAAUAUUGUAAGGGGUUAAUACGUAGUUCAUAUUUGAAUAGUUAGAUUAACAUGUUAGUAAUCCAGUUGUAGGCGGUUCGUGUGUGGAUCUCGUCAGCAUAUCGUCGCAAACAGGUGUGUAACUAACACCCUCUUUCUUAGUCUGGAUCGGCAAAAGUCGAAAAGCCGAAAUGCCGAAAUGCCGAAAUGCCGAAAUGCCGAAAUGCCGAAAAUCAGUAUUUUGUAGAUUUGCGAGUGUGCGAAUGCUCAUGAGGUAGAUCGAUUAAUGUUUUUUGCAAGCUGCAAAAUUUGGACUGCAAAGUGCAUGAUUUAUCUGCCCUCGAUAUUUUUGGGCUUAAUGGGCCAAAAUUGGAAUAAUGGGCCUACGGCCCAAUUUGGUAAGAACCCUCGGUACGUGAUUCUGUUAGUACGUGAAAAGUAGGAAUAUGCAUGAAAAACCCUAAAAUAGAUAAAUUACUGAAAUACCUUUAAAAGUGAAAAAUUUACAGUUUUACCCCUACUAGAUAAAUUACCGAAAUACCCCUAGGGUUAAAUUGACCUAAAUGCAUAUUUGACUGUUGUUAUUUACUGCAUACCAUGUUGUUAUUAUCUGAUGCAUGGGAUUGGGAUAUUGACGGAGGAAGUACUGAAAGUGGCUUGUCCACGUACUGGAGGCUUUGCCUCAAGUUACUGUUAACUGAGCAGCAAGGCUGCAACUGUGGAGUGUUGGGCUGGGUGGGUUGAGCUAUUCCCCACAUGGAGUGUAUGGCUGGUACGGGUGGAGUGUAGUGGUUGGUGGGUUGAGUAGUCUCCUCAAAUGGGCUUGCAUAUGUUUACUGAUGUUGCAUGUAUUUUGAAAUGGGCCUAUGGGCCAUACUGUUAUCUGAAUAAGGGGCUAAGGCCCAGUUUAUUGUAAUCUGAAAAGGGCUCUGGCCCAGUACCACUGUUACCUGAAUGGGAUUAGGCCCAAUGGGCUUGAGCUGACUUGGACUUUGAAUGGGUUUUCCUUACACACUGAGUUUGCCCAAACUCACCCCUUUUAUUUUCAUCCACGCAGGAAAUCCCCAACCAUAGUGGGCUUGGAGCUGUGAGGGAAUUCGGAGUGGCCACCCGUUCUGAAAGUUUGAUUUUCUUCCGGUGAACUGGACAUCCUUUUAAUUACGUUUGAGGUUUUGGGCUUUUAAAUGUAAUAAGGCCGCUUAUUUAUUUUUGAUGGUUUUUAAUAUGUAUUACUAAGAUAGGUAAUACUUAUUUUAACUGUUGAAAUUGGAUAGCUUUAGGGCGCGUUUUCAAAAACAACAGUUGAUUUCAAAAUAACACGACAACAAGCAAAGCUUCUGCAAUGAAAGUAUUUUCCAAAAUUAAUCACUUUUCCUAAAAAUGACUUAAUCGAAUCGGUUUCCUAGAAAUAUCCAUGACGUUAAGGUGUGGCAAUGGCGGUAUGCAUGUCUAGGAUUGGAUCCGAAGGGAGCUUGGUACUUAAGCAGUCCGAUGGACUCACCACCUCUUUUCCGGUUUCCUACCUGGUGCACAGCUUCCAUUCACUUUAACCAUUAAUGAAUUAAUCUUUUGAACAUCAAGUACGAUUUUCUAGACUUAGAAUGGAAAUUUUUUUUUAACGUUUUUGAUGUGGCAUGCCGGAUCCGGCCAUAACUUCUGGGCUGGGUUUGGGGUGCUACAAGCUACAUUGGAGUAGAUCGAAGUUACAAGGCAUAUAUCAAAAAAUGCAGUGGAUUGAACCAAAGCUACAAGAUGCGAUGGACUGGAAAGAGACUACCUGAACAAGAAGAGCACCAAAGAAGUCAAGACUCGGCAAGACUGGGCAAAAUUGGCCUUUCUUUGUGUUUUGCUCUAUUCCCGUUACACGACAAUGAGCAAAGAGGGGUAGCUGUUGUAGGCCAAUUUUGGGCCAUUUUACAAAAUACCCACAGCCCAAUUUUACCCAUACUUAAACCAAUACCCAUUAGCCCAACUAACCCAUCAGCCCACCACCCCAAAUUACCCGGGCCCGAAUACAAAUAACCCAAAACCCAGUUACAACCAGACCCACUACCCAAUUACAAUAACUAAACCUACCCAAGCCCAAUACUCAAAACUAGCCCAAACCUAAGAAGCCCAAUCCCUAACCCAACUCUAGACUUAGGGUUUCAAAAAAACUGAAACCUUAAAUUAUCUCAGCGCCGCAACCACCCCUGACCAUCCACCUGCUCCACCGGCCAUACCCUGUAGAAACAAAACAGAACACGCAACAGAAAAAGAAGGGAGAAACAGACAGUGUGACAAAUAGGCUAUAAAGCCGAAUGAAAAUUUGUAAAUGGGGAGUUUUUUUCGAAUGUAAAAAAGAAAAAAACAAAUCAAUACAAAAAGAGAACAUUGAGAAGAAAUCGAGAAAAAAAAGAGAGAAAGGUGAUUCUUUAUUCCUUUACUGUCAGUAUUCUUAGAUAAACAAAAAGCAUAAUACUCUAUCAACUCUUACCUUGUUUGGAGGGGGUAAUCGGAGGAGUGUAGAACCGAG